UAGGGAAUCUUCCGCAAUGGGCGAAAGCCUGACGGAGCAACGCCGCGUGAGUGAUGAAGGUCUUCGGAUCGUAAAACUCUGUUAUUAGGGAAGAACAAAUGUGUAAGUAACUAUGCACGUCUUGACGGUACCUAAUCAGAAAGCCACGGCUAACUACGUGCCAGCAGCCGCGGUAAUACGUAGGUGGCAAGCGUUAUCCGGAAUUAUUGGGCGUAAAGCGCGCGUAGGCGGUUUUUUAAGUCUGAUGUGAAAGCCCACGGCUCAACCGUGGAGGGUCAUUGGAAACUGGAAAUCUUGAGUGCAGAAGAGGAAAGUGGAAUUCCAUGUGUAGCGGUGAAAUGCGCAGAGAUAUGGAGGAACACCAGUGGCGAAGGCGACUUUCUGGUCUGUAACUGACGCUGAUGUGCGAAAGCGUGGGGAUCAAACAGG
rnacentral:rRNA from 1 species